UGAAUAGCUCAGAUGGUUAGAGUGAGGUGUUGAUAGCGCCAAGGUUGCAGGUUCGAUCCCAGGUGGAACAG